rnacentral:rRNA from 1 species
UACGAAGGGUGCUAGCGUUGCUCGGAAUCACUGGGCGUAAAGCGCACGUAGGCGGAUCUUUAAGUCAGGGGUGAAAUCCUGGAGCUCAACUCCAGAACUGCCUUUGAUACUGGGGAUCUCGAGUCCGGGAGAGGUGAGUGGAACUCCGAGUGUAGAGGUGAAAUUCGUAGAUAUUCGGAAGAACACCAGUGGCGAAGGCGGCUCACUGGCCCGGUACUGACGCUGAGGUGCGAAAGCGUGGGGAGCAAACAGG